GGAAAGAGGAAAUGCUGUCCUUUGACAAGAUGUGGGAAACCACCUCGAUUUGUGCUCCGUGUGGCUGUGACCAGAAAACAAAGAACCCUCGCCGGAUCCGGGGGCCAAGUUUCAAGUAAACUUUUCCGGACGCACCAAGCAAGUGUGUUUUUGUGUGUAUUUUCUGGCCAGCAAGGCUCUUCAUCUGCAGGAAGCUGUAAUAAGGCCCAUCUUGAGGGGAUCAAGAGAACUGAGGAUCCACUGAACCCUAGGGGCUCAAAGAAGUAGGAAGCAUGUCCUUCCAAGCCACCUAAGGGUGAAGUCCAUGGUCAGAAAGAUGCUGGACUCAGAGGGUGCACCCUCGAGUCAGUGUACCACACAUUCCAGCAUCUUCCUCUCUAAAGUUUAAAGCCAUUCCUCUGAUACACGUCGAAGUCCAGCAGGAAGUGCACAGCUCUGUCCCUAAAGCCACCCACCCACCAGAUUGAUGGGACUGCCUUUUCCGGAAGGGUGAAUCGGGGGCUCUCCGGGGACCAAACGGUAGCAGGAGAAACCACUGCCAGCGUUGGGAUCGGCCUCCAAAAUGACAUCCAGGAACCUUCCCCAAUCCAGUUUCCUUUCAGCGAAAGACGGGUCGCUUCUACUGAGCCUGCUGUGGUCCAGCCUUGUGGUCAGCCCUGAGCAACGGAGCCUCAGGAGUCUUGGUCUGAGAACAUAGAGAAGUUGAGAGGGGAAGGAAACCUGAAGAUUCUGCAA
rnacentral:lncRNA from 1 species